GUCCAGCCGGGAAGGAGAGGUGGGGCGGCCGGGGAGGAGGGGCGUCGCCCCCGCGUGGGCGCGCGGCGGCCGCGAAGAAGGAACACAAUUCUUCCAGCAAUGAAUGGCAUAUGACAUCUCAUGCAACGUGUUAUCAAACAGAGAUGGUCACUGGAGCCUGCAUGUUCAAGGUUUUAUUAGAGGAAGGAGAUGUGAUGACAAGAAAGUACACUGGCCAUCCUGGCAGGUCAUGCUGGCAGGAGAAAAUGUUUGGUGUGAUGUUGCAAACAUGAGAUGAAGGGCUAGGUGUCACCAGCAUGCACCAUGAACCUGGCAUGAGUAUUUCUCUUGACUGUCAGCACCACUUUCAUUCAGUCAAGAAACAGCUCAGCUGACAGGCUACCUCUGACACCUGCAGCAGCUUGCACGCAUGGAACUCAGCCAUCAAAGGCCAACACUUCAUGGUCUAGAGUCAAACAGCUGUGGGUUCCGUCUCCUGCCUGGUUGGCCCUGUGAAAUCUCUUCUCUUCAGUGAAUCUAGUAAAGCAGAGGAGUCACCAACCUGGAGCCCAGCACUUAAUGGGUGCCCAUCAACUGGUGGCUGCUAAGACAAUGUAGUGGUUUUUUUAAACAUGUGGCCCCAUAGACUCAGGCUUGGAUCUUGGGCCUCUAGUGGAUGGAGCCCUGCUGAGGAGGAUGCAAAGAUGAAUGUCACUGGGGGUGGAUCUUGGAAUCCAUCCCUGAGAUCUGUUUGGGGAGGAUCUUGAGUCCAGCCCUAAGAUGUGUGGAAAGCAGUUGGAGCUCUGGCUGUUCUGAUUGCUGGUAUUGGUGCUUGCUGGCUGUUUGGUGAUGUCUCUCUUCUUGGAUCUGUGGAA